AUUUCAGAUCUUCGAGCAAUCAUGUUGUUAGCUGAAGGAAAUGAUCAUUCAAAGUCACCUUCAUCUUCCUGGACUUCUCUGAGUAUCCACACCUCCAGGUGGCCCUGUUCCUGGUGCUCCUGGCCAACUACACCCACCAUCACUGUGCUGGGGAACCUGGGCAUGAUCCUGACCAUCAGGGGUAUCCCCAUGCUGAACCCCUGA
rnacentral:lncRNA from 1 species